rnacentral:rRNA from 1 species
AACGAACGCUGGCGGCAGGCCUAACACAUGCAAGUCGAGCGAGGACUUCGGUUCUAGCGGCGGACGGGUGAGUAACGCGUGGGAAUGUGCCCUUCUCUACGGAAUAGCCCUGGGAAACGGGGAGUAAUACCGCAUACGCCCUAUUGGGGAAAGAUUUAUCGGAGAAGGAUCAGCCCGCGUUGGAUUAGGUAGUUGGUGGGGUAAUGGCCUACCAAGCCGACGAUCCAUAGCUGGUUUGAGAGGAUGAUCAGCCACACUGGGACUGAGACACGGCCCAGACUCCUCCGGGAGGCAGCAGUGGGGAAUCUUAGAAAAUGGGGGCAACCCUGAUCUAGCCAUGCCGCGUGAGUGAUGAAGGCCUUAGGGUUGUAAAGCUCUUUCAGCUGGGAAGAUAAUGACGGUACCAGCAGAAGAAGCCCCGGCUAACUCCGUG